UACGUAGGGUGCGAGCGUUAAUCGGAAUUACUGGGCGUAAAGCGUGCGCAGGCGGUUCGUUAUGUCCGAUGUGAAAGCCCCGAGCUUAACUUGGGAAUGGCAUUGGAAACUGGCGGGCUGGAGUGCGGCAGAGGGGGUGGAAUUCCGACGUGUAGCAGUGAAAUGCGUAGAGAUGUGGAGGAACACCGAUGGCGAAGGCAGCCCCUGGGUCAAUACUGACGCUCAUGCACGAAAGCGUGGGGAGCAAACAGG
rnacentral:rRNA from 1 species